UCACUGGAACGAUGGUGAUGACCCCGCGCUCCUUUUCCUCCGGCUUCCUUCUAGUUCGACGGAUCGAGCAUCGAAGCGUCGUUUUAUCGGAAGAAUGUGAAUAGUGUUGACAGUGCAUGUAUGUUGUGUUUCUGAUAUGGUUAGGCCUCUGCAAUUUUUAUGAGACAGUGUAGAAUUGGCUGUGGUAAUUUACGUAUUGUGAAGUUAUGUACGUUAUGAAGUUUGAAUGGGUGAUAUGAUAGAAAUUGGAGGAAAGGUGAAGAUUGGUGGAGGCAUUGUUCGAAGAUAUGGAUGUGUGAUAAUCCCUGGUUUAAGUAUCUUGUAUUUGUUACUUCUUCUGAAGCCUUUGGAAACUUGGGUACUGAUACAGAAAAUUGAUUGACCUUAAAAUAAAGUUAUCCUUUCUAUGCUGUUUCAUUUUAUGAAAAUAACAAAGUAAAUGAAAUAAUUUGUUAUUUCAAAGAAAAUUUGAUCAAGUUUGCUAUGAUAUAAUGAUACGUCUUAGUGUGAGUACUAAGCGUCAUAAAUUCUGUUCCAAUUUUUUUUUUGGUGGGGACAUGAACGUGACCUGAGUGAGACACAUCAGCCUGUGACUCGUGAGCUGGUCACGUAAGAGAUUAAGAAAUAAAUCGUAAAAUCGAGCAGACGUUACAGUUUAUAUGGUGAAUGUCCGUGGAUGAAAGAAUUGACAGAAGUUACAGGAGAUAAGAGCUAGAAACCUCAAUCAGGAUCGUAAAAAUAAAUAGCUAUAUCCUGUUGCUAGCUCUGAUUCGAACCUUAUUGACAAAAGUGGAGUGUUAUGAUGCGUGUGUAUUGUCAAGUAAAAUGUAUAUCACAUAGCAUCAAUUGGUGCCAUUACUUGAUGCUUUAAUUUAAGACCCCAAUGACUUCACGUCAUGGAAGUUCCUCUGUAAUCUGGGAGAAGUCUUUGUGCAUUGCACUUGGAGCAUAAUUGCUUGGAUGAUUUUCAAUGGAGUUGCCAUUCUAUUCAACGCGGUGAUCUUUUACAAAUCUGUUAUAACAUCAAAAUUACUAGAGCAACGUCAUUUUGCACGAUCCAAGUAAUAUUAUUAGCGAAAUUAUACAAAUCAGUUGAUCGUCCGAAUUGUAAAAUUUUAAAAAACACAAGUCUUUCGCAGAAAACGAAGCGUCGAUUUGAUGGAUUCGGAGGAAAUUUACGUUGGUAGCUACAAGCAGACGUUCCUGGCAACGAACCACGCCGCAAGGUUGCCUCUGUCCUUAAUUUUAGAAGCGCCGGAAAGGAACGCUUGGAGAUGGUCGUCGCGACGAAAA